CGUAUGAAUUCUCAUGUGUCUGUUCAGGUGGCUCUUUUGUCCAAAUCUUCGACCACAUUCAGAACAGCCAAAUUGUUUUUGUCCUGUAUGAAUGAUCAUGUGUGUCUUCAGGUUGCUCUUUUGUCCAAAUCUUUGACCACA